rnacentral:rRNA from 1 species
AGAGUUUGAUCCUGGCUCAGAACGAACGCUGGCGGCAGGCCUAACACAUGCAAGUCGAGCGCCCCAGCAAUGGGGAGCGGCAGACGGGUGAGUAACGCGUGGGUAUCUACCUAGUGGUGCGGAAUAGCCCAGGGAAACUUGGAGUAAUACCGUAUAAGCCCGAGAGGGGAAAGAUUUAUCGCCAAUAGAUGAGCCCGCGUCUGAUUAGCUAGUUGGUGAGGUAAUGGCUCACCAAGGCGACGAUCAGUAGCUGGUCUGAGAGGAUGAUCAGCCACACUGGGACUGAGACACGGCCCAGACUCCUACGGGAGGCAGCAGUGGGGAAUAUUGGACAAUGGGCGCAAGCCUGAUCCAGCCAUGCCGCGUGAGUGACGAAGGUCUUCGGAUUGUAAAGCUCUUUUGGCGGGGACGAUAACGACGGUACCCGCAGAAUAAGCCCCGGCUAACUUCGUG